CCCGCGGCUAGACGGAAAGACCCCAUGAACCUUUACUGUAGCUUUGCAUUGGACUUUGAACCGAUCUGUGUAGGAUAGGUGGGAGGCUAUGAAACCGGAACGCUAGUUUCGGUGGAGCCGUCCUUGAAAUACCACCCUGGUUUGUUUGAGGUUCUAACCUUGGCCCGUGAUCCGGGUCGGGGACAGUGCAUGGUAGGCAGUUUGACUGGGGCGGUCUCCUCCCAAAGCGUAACGGAGGAGUACGAAGGUACGCUAGGUACGGUCGGAAAUCGUGCUGAUAGUGCAAUGGCAUAAGCGUGCUUAACUGCGAGACCGACAAGUCGAGCAGGUGCGAAAGCAGGUCAUAGUGAUCCGGUGGUUCUGUAUGGAAGGGCCAUCGCUCAACGGAUAAAAGGUACUCUGGGGAUAACAGGCUGAUACCGCCCAAGAGUUCAUAUCGACGGCGGUGUUUGGCACCUCGAUGUCGGCUCAUCUCAUCCUGGGGCUGUAGCCGGUCCCAAGGGUAUGGCUGUUCGCCAUUUAAAGAGGUACGUGAGCUGGGUUUAAAACGUCGUGAGACAGUUUGGUCCCUAUCUGCCGUGGGCGUUGGAUAUUUGAAGGGGGCUGCUCCUAGUACGAGAGGACCGGAGUGGACGAACCUCUGGUGUACCGGUUGUCACGCCAGUGGCAUCGCCGGGUAGCUAUGUUCGGAAGAGAUAACCGCUGAAAGCAUCUAAGCGGGAAACUCGCCUUAAGAUGAGAUAUCCCUGGGGACUAGAUCCCCUUGAAGGGUCGUUCGAGACCAGGACGUUGAUAGGUCAGGUGUGUAAGCGCAGUAAUGCGUUCAGCUAACUGAUACUAAUUGCCCGUAAGGCUUGAUCCUAUAACA
rnacentral:rRNA from 1 species